GGCAGUUCUCGGGUGACACACCCCGGAAUCAGGCUCCGCCCUCUCUGGUUCCGAGUGCAUCACCCAAAAACCACA
rfam:Myotis davidii contig118391, whole genome shotgun sequence.